rnacentral:rRNA from 1 species
UUACCUCAGUAACGGCGAGUGAAGCGGUAACAGCUCAAAUUUGAAAUCUGGCAGCAAUGUCCGAGUUGUAAUUUGUAGAGGAUGUUUCGAGCAUGGUCUGGCCUAAGUUCCUUGGAACAGGACGUCAUAGAGGGUGAGAAUCCCGUAUGCGGUCAGGUGCCUACGCUCAUGUGAAACUCCUUCGACGAGUCGAGUUGUUUGGGAAUGCAGCUCAAAAUGGGUGGUAAAUUUCAUCUAAAGCUAAAUAUUGGCCAGAGACCGAUAGCGCACAAGUAGAGUGAUCGAAAGAUGAAAAGCACUUUGGAAAGAGAGUUAAACAGUACGUGAAAUUGUUGAAAGGGAAGCGCUUGCAACCAGACUUGCACGCAGUUAAUCAUCCGCUGUUCUCAGUGGUGCACUUGAUUGCGUUCAGGCCAGCAUCGGUUUUGGUGGUGGGAUAAAGGCCUUAGGAAUGUAGCUGCUUUCGGGCAGUGUUAUAGCCUAGGGUGCAAUGCCGCCUACUGGGACCGAGGACCGCGCUUCGGCUAGGAUGCUGGCGUAAUGGUUGUAAGCGACCCGUCUUGAAACACGGACCAAGGAGUCUAACAUCUAUGCGAGUGUUUGGGUGUCAAACCCAUACGCGUAAUGAAAGUGAACGGAGGUCAGAACCCUUAAGGGUGCAUGAUCGACCGGUCCUGAAGUCUUCGGAUGGAUCUGAGUAAGAGCAUAGCUGUUGGGACCCGAAAGAUGGUGAACUAUGCCUGAAUAGGGUGAAGCCAGAGGAAACUCUGGUGGAGGCUCGCAGCGGUUCUGACGUGCAAAUCGAUCGUCAAAUUUUGGGUAUAGGGGGCGAAAGACUAAUCGAACCCAUCUAGUAGCUGGGUUCCUGCCGAAAGUU